AAAUAUCUACGAGAAUACGAGGCUAACUUUUCAUUUCAAUAACAGUGGAUAGAGGUAAAAUCCUUCCCGAAGCGCUAUGGAGAGCAGAAGCUAUGAACAGGACGACGCCUAAAUACCUCAGAAAUUUUGGAUGAACUUCUCGCCCCGAAACUGACCCGCAGCACAGCCUGGACUCCAGGGAAGAGUCUGGAAUGAACCAAAACAUUUGUAGACCAACAGAUGCCGUCUGCUUUAAUUUCUGUUACACUGACCGAGUCAACUCGCAUAGGACAAGUUAGAUCAAACUGUAAAGUAUGAAGUUACACAGGGGGCUUUUAGGGGAGAAUGAGAAGGAGAAGGAGAAGGUAGCUGCAUCGAGGAGGAAAUAAGGUUCCAAGACUAAAAACCCUUCUCCGUUGUCCUUCAUUUCUACAAAACAUACAAAAUCCCCUUUGAAUAAAACACAAAUUUGCAAACAAUAGGUCAGGGCGGUUCAAACGAAAUUGCGACCUGGAAAGGAAGCGACAGUCCGAGUUUCAGAUGUUGCGAAAUAGGACGAAAUAAGGCAAAACUUUUGGUGAGGGUGGAAUCAGGAAUGGCGUGAAAUCCCUAAUCAAAUCAUCUUCCUCACACCGCCAAAUGGAUGCAGAGUGCUUGUAGUAUGAGGCUGGCAGGGAUGGAGGACACGACGGAGCUGCUGGAGAAGAAGCAAGCGUCGGAAAUUUCGAAGAUGAGCUUAGAGGAGGCACUCACUCUCGCUCGUGCUUUCAGCCAUUACCUCAAUUUGAUGGGCAUUGCUGAAGUUCAUCACAGGUCACUGAACGACUUGGGAAAAAAAAAAAAAAGGGUUAAAUUUCAUAUAUCUCUUAGUGACAUAUUUUACAACCAAUCGACUCUUGCUUGCUUCAUCAUCAGUAGUAGCAACUCUUAAUCCCCAAUCUAUGAAUUAAAUCCUGCUUUCUUCAUCAUCUGUCAAUUUGUUAGUCUAUGGUUGGUGAAUGAAUUUUGGCAGGCAAUGUUGUUUUUGAUUUAGAGUUUCUGUCUGAAUUGUCGUAGUUUUGUUUGAUUUGGAAUGUAACUGGAAUAUUUUCAGCAUUGUAUUUGAUUUUUGAUUAUCAUGAAUCUUUGCCUUUUGGUUUUUUAUGAUGUAUUAGCUGAUAUACUUGAUAUGCUAAAACAAAUUUUGAGGGGAUCAUGGAUCAUUUUGUGUUGCAGCUCUUCAUGCUUUGUCAAACUUUCAUUGUUUUUUUAUUUAUGUGAGUAUAGUCAAUCUUAUUGACUAAUUGGAGGUCCUGGAUUAUGUGUGGUUGCUACAGAUAAGAGAGUUGGCUCUUUAAUAGAUGCAUGUGCAAUUAUUACUUGAUCCUUAGAACGCAUAGAAGGUUCAAGUAUUUCUUUCGGUCAGCAUAUUAUUGGUGUUCCCAUUUCUCUUGAAUAUAUAUAUAGGUCAAUAUUCGUUAUGGGUUUUACUUCUGUUUGUUAUACCGAAGAGGUUGUGAUUAACUUCUAUGUUUUAUUUUCCAUGGUUCUGUUUGUUCUGUUGAUUUUAUAUAGUGUUAGAAGGCAUGUUUGGAAACACAUUACAGUGGUUUAAUACAAGUGUUAAUGAUAUUUUGUUAUGGUUUCUGCAAUAGCUACUGAAAUUGUUUCAGUUCAUAUUAGUUAGUAGUGAGUCACUCAUAAACUUUUUUCAAUAAAUCAUUUUCAUGAGAUUCAUUUUGUCACUUCAUGUGUCCAACAAUCCAGAUAAACUCUGCUUUGUACUGACAACUCAGAGGAAUUUAGGUAGUGUUUUAAAAUGUUUUAGACUGUAUAGAGAAGCAGCACUGUAGAGUAAUCAAUGACUAUGCAAAGCUGUUUGAGUUUUUAUUUCUUAUUUGUGUACUUUUGUUGUUCUUGGAAUUCAAACAGAGCAUGUGAGUUGUGAAUUGGCUUUUCUAAUUUAGUAUUUCAUAUUUCGCAUUGCUUAGGGUUUAGAAUAGGAAGUGCUUUACUACAUAUUUAGCUUUACCAAUGUGUACUGGUUUUGUCAUGCUGCUGUAGAAUAUGUACUCCAAAGUGGAUCUGAUUCUGUUGGUCAUGAACAAACUGAAAUGUCUUGGGACUGCUAUUAGUUUCUUCAAAAUAUUUUAAGUUUGAAUUACUGUACAUAUAUAAUUAAACAUGCUUUCAAUUACUGUCUUCAUAUGCAAGUUCAAUGUUUUACAUUAUGAGAAGGAGAUUUUUUUGGUUUAAAGUAUGAGAAUGUGAGAAUUUUGAAGUAGUUGUCUAUUUGCUUAUUAUUUGCUGUGUUUACCUUGCGACAAAUCAGCCAUAUUUGUUAUUGUUGUGACAGAGUUUGUUUGUUGGAAUGAAGAAGCAAUCACCAGAUGCACUUUCUUCUCAUCCCAAGUAAUAUUUGUUCUUUCAAGCAAUGGUAGAUUUUCUACUCAAGAGUUUUAAACAUGUAUCUCAUUAUCUGGUUUACUAGGGGUUGAGGAAAUUAUUUGGUCAGUAUCUUCUAAAGUUGGUCUUUUUUCCCCAAGUUUUCUUUUGAACGUUUGCCAUUGUUGUCUUUUCAAAAUAAUGUUGAUCUAAUAUGCUUACUUAGGACUACAUGCAUAUAGCCAUGCAUAUCGCCUGAGCGUAACUAAUUAAUACAGAGACUUAGAAUCUUCUUAUUCUGGAAUAAGCCUUGGCUGGCUAGCUAUUCUUCGCAUAUGUCCUGACCUAUAAGGAACCUUAUUAAAAAAGGAAUAUGAGGUCUGCUAGCUCCUUCAUAUCAGCAAAAGUAUUGUGUAGGCUUUGUUUCUUCAGUUUCUUUUUGGGUUUAGCUGUCUUCUUCCUGUGCCAAGCUUCUUAACUUUGCUUCGGAUUUCCAUUUUCAUUUGUUUGUUUUAUUGUGUUUAGUAACUUUUAAGGAGGUGAAUCUCAACUGGAUAAUCUCAUUAGGCACCAGAAGAUUGUAUCUUUCUGGCGAGUCCCUGUUAUCUUAUAUUUCUCUUUUGUAUCGGGUUGUUUCAGUAAGGAUCAAAGAACUUGCAGUUUUAUAUCAAUCACUUAAUCUUCAGUGAUAGGGAAGCUAACAUUGAACCAGCAAUGUCAUCACAUACGGUGCACAACCCAACAAGCAGAAAACUGACUGAAGCAGCAUGUUAUUGCAAUUCUUGCUUCACUUUUUGUUUAGAUAUUACUGGAGCAAGCAAUUUUUUGAUAGGCUAACACGUUUUGUUUAUAUACACCUAGACCAACUAGAACAACUACUUUUUGGAAAAUAUUCCAGCAACUGUAAAUAAGUAAACCUUGGAUAGCCUAUUUUUUGAACACUCCACUAUGAUAAGAUCAUCCUUUGUUUUAGAUGAUCUGCAGUAAUGAAAACAGUUCUA